CACACACACACGCACACACACGCACACACACGCACACGCACACACACACACACACACACACACACACACACACACACGCGCGCACACACACACACACACACACACACACACACACAUUGAUGUAAACCUAGUGUAUCUUGAUUUGUGUCGAUCCGUCUGCUGGGGACGUCUGUAUAAACACGUGGAUGACUAACGGAGGAAGCUUCCUCUCGUCCCAGUGACGAGGCCUCAGCUUCACUCUCUCUCUCAGUUUUGUGUUUUCCAGUCAAUGUUACUUUUUCUUCAUCUUUUUCUGCAUUCAAGAGGCGUUCAAAGACUCGGGGGUCUUUUCUGUGUUGUCUGGGCCGUCGUGAGUCAGUUGUCAAAGUGAUUUGCCGAGAUUCCAGGAAGAAAUUGUGACGUGGCUGGAAACACAAGCGGUCCGGGGGGAAAAAAGAGCUCGUGAACCUGCCGACGGUGUCGCCAACGAUCUGAACCACUUCCUGAAGAACCACUUCCUGAAGAACCACGACGGACCAGGGACUUCGUCCAUACUCACACAACAUUGUGUAGAUAGGGAUGAUGUAGUAAUUAGCCAGAAACAUGAGCCCCCGGAUGAUCCGGCCUUCGGGACUUAGACGUCUGAGUUGUUGUGUUUAACUGCUGAAGCCUCGUCCCAGUGGGAGUUAACUACACACUCCUACUGGAAAUCGUUUUACAACCUCCCUGAGUUAUGUGUCAGAACCUGCAGGGGUUCGUGUUCCAGCGGACUGUCGGCCGCUCGUGUUCUGUGCUCGUCGUGCUUCUUUUCAGUGAUGCGCCCACAUUUCCAGAUCUCAGUAAUCUAAAGUAUUGAGUAUGAUGACGGUCUGCCAACGUGUGAUAAAGUAGAAUCGUCCCCUGUAGGAGCAUGUGAUGAACUAUAAUCAGCGCUGCCUCCUCUGUUCAGUCCGUUGUCGCUCCACUGCUGCGUUCACACACAACGCAAAGCGAAUGUUCGCGUCACUCGUACUAACUCGGCCGCACGAUCAUUCGUGUGCGACCUGAAUAUUCACCUGCUCUUCCUCCGACAGACGCACGUAAUCAUGAGCUGUGUGUCGUCAGACAGGAAUGCCGAUGGGAAAGCCAGCAGCUUGUGGUCAGCAGUUGGCUCAGGCCUGUUGGACAGUUGAAAUGAUUCGACCCAGGCUGAGGUCGCCGUCCCUUGUUAUCAGAGCUGAUGCUCAGGAAACCCGUUGCUCAUCACCGAUAAAGCUGUGGGCGAUACGCUUCUGCAGACGGGAGCCGGCUACAAGUGGGCGGGGCCACGCCGAUUGGUACGAGCGCGUCAGCAAGAAGACAAUGGAAGUUCCUCCCAGGCUCGUUACGUUAGAAAACCAAGUCGUAGCGUCUCAAAUUUUAAGUAAUGCGACGUAUUUACUGGGUGAAAUACAUGACGUGAACAUGGUUUAGUUAUGAGACAGAUCGAAAUCCUUCCGAUGUCGGAUCUGCAAACGUGUUGGCACCUAAAGCGAAUACGGUGACACGAAGGGAUAAAAAGAUGGACGACACGACGAAGGGAUAAAAAGAUGGACGACACGACGAAGGGAUAAAAAGAUGGACGACAUGACGAAGGGAUAAAAAGAUGGACGACAUGACGAAGGGAUAAAAAGAUGGACGACAUGACGAAGGGAUAAAAAGAUGGACGACAUGACAGCUCAUCAAAAGUGACGGCAAAUUAUUUUGACCGCCAUGUUGAGUUUACUCACUCGGAAGUCGCAGGGUCGUUCCAUUUGCAAUUUCCGACUCGGAGGUCGGAAUUCCGAGUUCCGAGAUCAUACUGGAACGCAGCAUAAGCCCCGCCCCCUCCAUGUUAGCAGAUUGCUCAUUAAGUCAUCAUGGCUCGAGUUGUGAUCAUUUUCUUGCAUUAGGCUACAUGACCAAGUUAGCCGACUCCAGAACAUAUAAGUUGAAGCAUGCACAUUGUAGGAAAUAGAGAACAACCCAUUUACUGUAUGUGUGUCAAUAAAUUCAGGAUUUCUAAUCAGUUAUUUUCAGAUUUUAAAUUGUGUGUUAUCGCAGAAUAGGGCCUCACAUUACUGUCGUCACAUUAUCCUCUGGUUUGAUGUACAAUAAAUGUGCAUGUGUGUUACAGUAA